UAGGUAUUUCUCUACAUAUUGUGACCUAAGAAUGUCCUGCUGAUGAAGAACGUGCUCUAAUAACAGCCAUAAAGAGAGUGCAGACUGUCCCCAAUGUCUCCAGCAGGGGUCUUACCGACCACAUUAUUAGCUCCUUAAGCUAAUGAGACCCCCUUAACGCUUCCUGAAUUUGGGCCGGUUUGGUCCAGAGGGCAAUGGAGAAGUGCAGAAGUCUCCAGCUGUGUGUGUGUGUGUGUGUGUGUGUGUGUGUGUGUGUGUGUGUGUGUGUGUGUGUGUGUGUGUGUGUGUGUGUGUGUGUGUGUGUGUCUCGACAGGGGUUGCGAGUUCAGGGUUUUAUGGGCUGGUACGUCCUGUUCUGACACUCAAUUUUACUCAGGGAAAUGUUUCCCAAGGCUCAAGCUGCCACUCAACCAACACCCUACUAGAGUGAGAGCGUGAUUUUAAUUCAGGAGAUUCAAAUAAGGAUGCAUCUGGUGAGCUAGUUUUCACGAGAUGCCCCCAAGACCUCAGACUUCAACAUUUCCUCAGACUUCAGUCAAUAAGAUGCAGCGUUGUGCUCAUUUCCCGUGCUAAUCCUCCAGCUGCAGCGCCGGCUGGAUGUUUAAACAACCUUUUCCGAAAUGAAUCAUUAGAGGCGUAGGUCAAGUUGGAAAAUAUAUCUCUCAAUCCGACGGUUCUCGUUAACCGUCCCGAUCACAAACGGCACUCUGCAGCCAAGAGCUGAUUGCAGAAUUUUAGGAAUACAGGAAUGUGUAACAGGAGCUUGGGAAACAGAGAUGGCUGAAGGAUUGCAGGAGGACAUCAAUAGGCUCUGAUCUCAGACAAAAGAAGCUGAUGUCUGCCCUACUUGAAAUUCUUAAAGUGCUAUGCAUAAGUAUUCACCCCCUUGAACUUUUCUACAGUUUGUACAAUUUAAACUCUGAACUGAAAUAGACCAGGGUUUAUUUGCAAUAACAUCGAAUCGGACGGGAUUUCAAUUCCGAGUCGGAUAAUCAGUGACAAUUAGAGACUUUACCUUAGCAAACAGCAUCAUGAUUUUUAAGAAGCUAUCCAAACAAAUCUGGGACAGAGUUUUGGAAAAGUAUCAAUCAGGGUUUGGUUAUAAUAAACUUUGAUCAUCUCACAGAGCAUCAUUAAAUCAAUUAUUAAAAAAAAAAGAAAGAAAGAAAAGAACAACAUUGCACAACCAAAACCCUGCCUUGAAGGGAUUAGUCAGAGAAGCAGCCAUUACUUCUGCUAACACUUUUACCAUUUUUAUUUUUAAAUCCUUUUCCAGUUUCUGUUGUUUCAGUUACAUGGAUAUUUUGUGCAGAUUCAUGUCAUAUAAUCCAAGUACAAUAUACAGGAACGUUCUGAGGGGUGAAUACUUAUGCAAACUAUUGUACCACAGAGAAACCCAUGAGAAAAUAGGGUUUAUUACAUGAACUCUGAUCAGAGAUGUGCAUGUCAGUCAUGUUUGUUUAAGGUAAAUCUCACAGUCCUCAGCUAUGAUUACUGAGACAAAUUCACAGGUUCCCAUUAAAAGCGAAGGCGUUGGUGAUAAAGCGAGCUGCCAGUAAAGCGCUUGUUCCAGCACGUCUCAGAAAUACAGUCACUAAACAAUCUACAGCCUGCUAAGAUAUCCUUUAGAGCCGAAAUAAAAAAAAGCCACAUUAAAAUACCCGUAAUACUCAGCAACAUGGGAGUAGUUUAACCCCCGACUACAUCGGCUACACAUCAACUACAUCCCAGUUCAUCUAUAUUACACAACCAUGAUUACAGCGUACAGAGCGUUAACACAGAUCACACCGAAACAUCUCAGAGGCAGGAAGCAGGGACAGAUAGACAGUAG